rnacentral:rRNA from 1 species
CGAACGCUGGUGGCGUGCCUAACACAUGCAAGUCGAACGAGAAAGUUCCCUUCGGGGGAUGAGUAAAGUGGCGCACGGGUGAGUAACACGUGGAUAAUCUGCCUCUGAGCGAGGGAUAACAUCCCGAAAGGGGUGCUAAUACCUCAUAAUAUUUUGCGAGCCUCGGUUUGCAAGAUCAAAGAUGGCCUCUGGAACAAGCUGUCACUUAGAGAUGAGUCCGCGGCCCAUUAGCUUGUUGGUAGGGUAAUGGCUUACCAAGGCAACGAUGGGUAGCUGGUCUGAGAGGAUGACCAGUCACACUGGAACUGAGACACGGUCCAGACUCCUACGGGAGGCAGCAGUGAGGAAUAUUGCGCAAUGGGGGAAACCCUGACGCAGCAACGCCAUGUGAGUGAUGAAGGCUCUCGGGUCGUAAAGCUCUGUUAGGAGGGAAGAAUAGUUCGUGACGAAUAAUCACGAAUCUUGACGGUACCUCCAGAGGAAGCACCGGCCAACUCC